rnacentral:rRNA from 1 species
AGCGGCGGACGGGUGAGUAACGCGUGGGUAACCUGCCUCAUACAGGGGGAUAACAGUUGGAAACGGCUGCUAAUACCGCAUAAGCGCACAGUACCGCAUGGUACGGUGUGAAAAACUCCGGUGGUAUGAGAUGGACCCGCGUCUGAUUAGGUAGUUGGUGGGGUAACGGCCUACCAAGCCGACGAUCAGUAGCCGACCUGGGAGGGUGACCGGCCACAUUGGGACUGAGACACGGCCCAA